UACGUAGGUGGCAAGCGUUGUCCGGAAUCACUGGGCGUAAAGCGCGCGCAGGCGGCGACCUACGUCUGGGGUGAAAGCCCGGAGCUUAACUCCGGGACUGCCUUGGAUACGGGAUCGCUUGAGGAUUGGAGAGGCAAGGGGAAUUCCACGUGUAGCGGUGAAAUGCGUAGAUAUGUGGAGGAACACCUGUGGCGAAGGCGCCUUGCUGGCCAAUUUCUGACGCUGAGGCGCGAAAGCGUGGGGAGCAAACAGG
rnacentral:rRNA from 1 species